UGAUAGUGACUCUCACUUGGAGCAUGCUA
rnacentral:piRNA from 1 species